rnacentral:rRNA from 1 species
GAUGAACGCUGGCGGUAUGCCUAACACAUGCAAGUCGUACGAGAGUUUUUAACUCUAGUGGCGGACGGGUGAGUAACACGUGAGAAUUUGCCUUUAGGAGGGGGACAACAAUUGGAAACGAAUGCUAAUACCCCAUAUGCUUUCGAGUGAAAUGGAUUUUAUCCGCCUAGAGAGAAGCUCGCGGCUGAUUAGCUUGUUGGUAAGGUAAGAGCUUACCAAGGCGACGAUCAGUAUCUGGUUUGAGAGGACGAUCAGACACACUGGAACUGAGACACGGUCCAGACUCCUACGGGAGGCAGCAGUGGGGAAUUUUCCGCAAUGGGCGAAAGCCUGACGGAGCAAUACCGCGUGAGGGAAGAAUGCCUAUGGGUUGUAAACCUCUUUUUCUAGGGUAGGAAUAAAAUGACGUGUACCUGAAGAAUAAGCAUCGGCUAACUCCGUG